rnacentral:rRNA from 1 species
UGCCAGACUCCUACGGGAGGCAGCAGUGGGGAAUAUUGGGCAAUGGGCGCAAGCCUGACCCAGCAACGCCGCGUGAAGGAAGAAGGCUUUCGGGUUGUAAACUUCUUUUGACAGGGAAGAGUAGAAGACGGUACCUGUCGAAUAAGCCACGGCUAACUACGUGCCAGCAGCCGCGGUAAUACGUAGGUGACAAGCGUUGUCCGGAUUUACUGGGUGUAAAGGGCGCGUAGGCGGACUGUCAAGUCAGUCGUGAAAUACCGAAGCUUAACUUCGGGGCUGCGAUUGAAACUGACAGCCCUGAGUAUCGGAGAGGAAAGCGGAAUUCCUAGUGUAGCGGUGAAAUGCGUAGAUAUUAGGAGGAACACCAGUGGCGAAGGCGACUUUCUGGACUGUACCUGACGCUGAGGCGCGAAAGCGUGGGUAGCGAACGGGAUUAGAUACCCCCGUAA